rnacentral:misc_RNA from 1 species
UUCUUGGCAAAUGUAUGUGUAAAGUACGUACGUAUACAUACAUCCUCAAGGUACAUCCAGUGUAUCAGUCGCUACCACUGAAAUACAAUGUAUAGUGGUGGCUACCAACGAAUUCAGAGCUACGACCACAACUGAUUUGGUUGGUGGCUACCAUGGGGUGGUUGCUAUGGGUACGGGCGCGUCAUUCCAAAAUUGAUUAAUCGACCACUUUCAUUGUAUUUAUACCUUUCAUUCUUUCAGCACAUGAAAUAAUUUUAUAUUAUACUAGUAUGAUGACGGAGUGUAGGGUGUCUGGCGAUACUGCAGAAAUAAAUGGGCCCAAUUCAAGUCAGUGCCGAUCGUCACUGGGAGAAUUACUAGGAUCCUUUCAAAUCAACGAUUGCUUGAUAAAAUUGAUUCAUCAGUUUUUAUUAUACAAUGAGUUUGAAAAUACAGCAGACAGCCUGGUUCAUGAGGCACCCAAACUGGGUUUCGAUGUUCUUUCUGAACACUUGUGCACAAUUAAUUCUAUACCCAAAGAAGUUUGCAAGGCCAUCAUGUCGCAUUACUUCGCUGGAGAUUGGACACAUUUUUUUGAUUUGUGGAAUAGCCUCAUCCCUGAAAGCAUCCGAGAAGGUGCUGAAUACAAAAUUUUGACUUUUAAGCUUCAUCUGCAUUUUGCUAUUCUACCACUCAGAAUUAAACAACUUCAUGCAAAAGUGAACAGAAAAGAGUAUGAUCAGAUGUCAAGUGGACAGAUGAUGGAAAUAAUUGCAAACGCGACAGAAACGUACUUUUGUGGAGCAAAGGUAGACAAUAAUCAAUCAAAGCAAAUAAUAUCAGAGGCUAUGGAACAACUGAGAAUAUAUUUAGAGACAGAUGGCCGUGACUUCGAAGAAAAUACCGAACUACUCCCUUUAUUUGCCCUCCCUUGUAUGAACGAUGCUCAAACCUACUCAACUUUUCCAGAACUAUUCGAAUUGAGUUGGAUGGAGGAUUUGACUAAGGCUCUUCAAAUCUUCAUCAUGAACCAAAAGCAGGUUCGGUCAACUAUAUCUCAAAAAACUUCCACAGACACAAUCAUGACAAGAUGCCCAUACGUCUGUGUCCAAGGCGACAUCUCUUCGACCUGUGAAAAUAUCAAUAAUUGUCAGGAUAGAUUAAUUAGUAUCGAUUCUUUGAGCAACGAACCAAUAACGCAAAAUGAUCUAUCAAAAAUGCCAUUGGAAAUAACGAAAAGUACAAUAAUGGGAUUAAUCCCCCAGAAAAUAAAGAAUGCUAAUACAGAAAUUAUAGUAAAUGAUCGUGAUAUACCGAUGUUCCGGAAAGGUCACGACUUAGAAGAUCAAUUCGGAUACUGCAUUAAGCAUCAAUCUCAUAGAAUUCAUUCCAAAAGCGCUCAGACCAAAAUUAGCACUUUAACAACAACAAACUUUAUCUCGACGAGUGACCUCUACCAUCCUGCAACUAUAUUGAAUUCUGCAACAUUUACAAAAAAUAUGAAUGCAUCGAUUGAAUCCAAUCAGGAAUUGGCAAUAACUAAAUCACAUUUGAACCACAUCCGAUGUAACUACGAAAGAUUGAAGACAAGAUUCCAUGAACUACAUUCAGAUUAUCACAAGUUGCAUGGAAUUGCUGGAGAAUUAACAGCUGCUCUUGAAAAUUCAGUUAGAGGAGAGGCCGUUGACUUGCAGAGGAUGUUAGAAUCAUGUAUUGCUAUAUUUCCUGAUUUAUUUAACCAUAACGUCAGAGGAUAUACAUCAGGUACAAAUGUCUUACUUGAUCAAGAAGUGGAAAUAAAGGAGACAGAUCUCACUAUAGAGCCUCACGUGCAAUAUAAUCUCAACCCCGUUUCUCCAAAGGUGUUGGAUUAUAAAAAAAUCAAGUUUCAUUUAAUCAAUGGAAGUGUUAAAACAAAAUUGCUGUUACUGCAAGCUUUACGAUGGAAACUUACACUGAGUCAACCUGGAGACCGAGAUGAAACGAUCAAUGAAUACUUGAGAGGGGAUAUUUUAGGACUACAUGCUCAAGUGGCAUGUGAUAGCGGCAAACAAAUUUUACCUUAUCUUCUGAUGCCCAAAAACGUAGCUACUCCACAUCCUCUACAACAAUCUGCAGCUAGGCUGAUCAAUACCCUGGCGUCUCUGAGAUGUGGUAGAGAUUAUUUAGCAAUUGGUGCUAGACUACUAGAUUUAAUCAUUAAGUGCCUGACUGAGAACAAUGGGAGGUCUAUAGAUGCCUUUACAUGCGACAUGAUAAUUGCUAUGCUACAAAAAAUGUCCUUACGUAAACAGCAACGACUCUACAUGAUCGAAACUGGGCUAGUGGAAUGGUUAAUAUUUCAUUUGAAAUCUGAAAUCUACAGGGUGGGUUCCUAUAGAUUGAAAUAUGCUACAGCACUUUUAAUGAAUCUUUCGUUGCACAAAGAAGCUCAAAUACGUGCCUCUGCAAUCGCUCCAAUAGUUAUUUCCACCCUCACUACAUUAUUGAGUACAGAUCAUUUACAGGCGCUACCUUACAUCAAUGGCUCAUUGAAUAGUUUUUUGUCUAAUGAAGUCAUUAAUGAGGAAGCAAAAAGAACUGGACUCACAAGCAUACUAGAAUGUCAUCGUAAUCAAAAUUCAGGAGAAAUCAGAAAACAUUUAGAACAUAUUUUGAAAAUUCACAACCGUGAUUAUGCCUUAAAUCGCGAAGACUAUGAGACCGCAGAUGACGAUAACGAGGAAUUGGAUGAGCUAGAAGAUGAGCUAGAAGAGGGGGACCCUGUUAAAAUGCAUUCUGGAGAAUUAUCCGGGGAAGCUCUUUUAGCAUCUUGUUAUUCCAUUGCUACAAGCACUACACAACCAUGCGAGGUAGCAGCAAAACAACAGUGACUUCUUCAGUAAUUCUGGGAACAACUUGCGAUGGCGUGAUUGCAGAAACUGAAAAGCUGAGCAGCAUUGCGUCACUGGAUUUAAAAAAUGUGGAUGCUUCCACAACUGCAAAAACAACAACAGUGGGACCUGAUG